rnacentral:rRNA from 1 species
UACGAAGGGGGCUAGCGUUGCUCGGAAUGACUGGGCGUAAAGGGCGCGUAGGCGGCUUGCACAGUCAGGCGUGAAAUUCCUGGGCUCAACCUGGGGACUGCGCUUGAGACGUGUGGGCUUGAGUGGGGAAGAGGGUCGUGGAAUUCCCAGUGUAGAGGUGAAAUUCGUAGAUAUCGGGAAGAACACCGGUGGCGAAGGCGGCGACCUGGUCCUUGACUGACGCUGAGGCGCGAAAGCGUGGGGAGCAAACAGG